ACAAAUAGACAAACAAUCCAAGGAAGACGACAGUUAAGAAUUGAGCAUGGAAUGCUCACAAACUGCUCCUAAUUUGGUUGGUAUAAAUAUAUAAAUACAGCUAAAAAUGAUAUAUUUUAUAUAAAUAACAUGGACAAUGAGCCAUUUGAGUACAGACAAUGUAGUUCAGGAAGACCUCAUGGAUGAGGUGAAUUUUGAGGUCUGUAGAGAAUUCCCAAGGAGGACAAGACAUAACAGUGAAGGGGCACAGGCAAAAGCAAGGAGACAUGAUGCAGUGUGUCAUUUUUCAGGAAAAUAAUAGCCUGGUAUCACUGAAGUACAGUGUGUAAGGGACAGGGUGUCAGA
rnacentral:lncRNA from 1 species